rnacentral:rRNA from 1 species
UAGGGAAUAUUGCGCAAUGGGGGAAACCCUGACGCAGCAACGCCGCGUGAGUGAGGAAGGUCUUAGGAUUGUAAAACUCUUUUAUUUGGGAAAAAUGAUCUAGUGGCUAAUAUCCAUUAGAAGUGAUGGUACCAAAGGAAUAAGCACCGGCUAACUUCGUGCCAGCAGCCGCGGUAAUACGAAGGGUGCAAGCGUUGUUCGGAAUCAUUGGGCGUAAAGCGCGCGCAGGCGGAUCAGCAAGUCAGAUGUGAAAUCUCGAAGCUCAACUUCGAAACUGCGUCUGAAACUGUUAGUCUAGAAUAUCGGAGGGGACAGGGGAAUUUCACGUGUAGGGGUAAAAUCCGUAGAGAUGUGAAGGAACACCGGGGGCGAAGGCGCCUGUCUGGACGAUUAUUGACGCUGAGGCGCGAAAGCGUGGGGAGCAAACA